AGAGUUUGAUUAUGGCUCAGGAUGAACGUUGGCGGCGUGCCUAAUACAUGCAAGUCGAACGAAGAGCUCGGCGUAGCAAUACGCUGAUCCUCUUAGUGGCGAACGGGUGAGUAACGCGUUGGUGACCUACCCCAAAGAGAGGGAUAACAGCUCGAAAGAGCUGCUAAUACCUCAUGUGAUCGUCGGGAUUAGACGCCUGAUGAUUAAAGGAGCUUGCUCCACUUUGGGAGGGGCCUGCGUACCAUCAGCUAGUUGGUAGGGUAAUGGCCUACCAAGGCUAUGACGGUUAGGGGACCUGAGAGGGUGGCCCCCCACAAUGGAACUGAAACACGGUCCAUACACCUACGGGUGGCAGCAGUAGGGAAUAUUGGUAAUGCACGAAAGCGCGAACCAGCAACGCCGCGUGUGCGAUGAAGGCCUUCGGGUUGUAAAGCACUUUUCGGGAGGAAGAGGAAGGACUGUACUCCCGGAAUAAGUCUCGGCUAACUACGUGCCAGCAGCCGCGGUAAUACGUAGGAGGCUAACGUUAUCCGGAUUUACUGGGCGUAAAGCGCGUGUAGGCGGUUCGGUAAGUUGGACGUGAAAGCUCCCGGCUCAACUGGGAGAGGUCGUUCAAUACUGUCGGACUAGAGGAUGGUAGAGGGAGGUGGAAUUCCGGGUGUAGUGGUGAAAUGCGCAGAUAUCCGGAGGAACACCAGUGGCGAAGGCGGCCUCCUGGACCAGUCCUGACGCUCAGACGCGAAAGCUAGGGUAGCAAACGGGAUUAGAUACCCUGGUAGUC
rnacentral:rRNA from 1 species